rnacentral:tRNA from 2 species
ACCAUCGUGGCCAAGUGGUUAAGGCGAUGGACUAGAGAUCCAUUGGGGUCUCCCUCCAUGGGUGCAAAUCCUGUCGACUGCG